AACGAACGCUGGCGGCGCGCCUAAUACAUGCAAGUCGAGCGAGAAGGUGUAGCAAUACACUUGUAAAGCGGCGAACGGGUGAGGAAUACAUGGGUAAUCUACCAUCGAGUGGGGAAUAACCAACCGAAAGGUUGGCUAAUACCGCGUACGCCUCCGGAUCUUCGGGUUCGGAGGGAAAGCUGCACUGUGAGUGUAGCGCUCUUUGAUGAGCUCAUGUCCUAUCAGCUUGUUGGUAGGGUAACGGCCUACCAAGGCUUUGACGGGUAGCUGGUCUGAGAGGACGAUCAGCCACACUGGCACUGCGACACGGGCCAGACUCCUACGGGAGGCAGCAGUAAGGAAUAUUGCGCAAUGGGCGAAAGCCUGACGCAGCGACGCCGCGUGGGGGAUGAAGGUCUUCGGAUUGUAAACCCCUUUCGGGAGGGAAGAUGGAGCGAGCAAUCGUUCGGACGGUACCUCCAGAAGCAGCCACGGCCAACUUCGUGCCAGCAG
rnacentral:rRNA from 1 species